rnacentral:misc_RNA from 1 species
AAGUCGUAACAAGGUUUCCGUAGGUGAACCUGCGGAAGGAUCAUUAUUGAAUGAACCGUUGGGCUGUUGCUGGCUUCGUAACAGGAGCACUGUGCACGUCCUUCGCUCUUUCUACACUUUUCCCCCUGUGCACCUUUUGUAGGCUCUCGCUGGAAGGGAAGGCGAACUCUUGACGGCUUUCGAGCAGUCUUUGGGAGGUCUGCGCACGUUUUGUGUGCUCUUCCUGCAGUCGUCCUGACCUUUGAGGUCUACGUUUUAUACACCAAUUGUAAACCUAGAAUGUCUAUUUUCUGGCCUAGCCGUAAAACGCGAACGCCUUGAAAAAUUUAUACAACUUUCAACAACGGAUCUCUUGGCUCUC